rnacentral:rRNA from 1 species
UUGCUCUCUGAUUCAGCGGCGGACGGGUGAGAAAUGCCUAGGAAUCUGCCUGAUAGUGGGGGACAACGUUUCGAAAGGAACGCUAAUACCGCAUACGUCCUACGGGAGAAAGCAGGGGACCUUCGGGCCUUGCGCUAUCAGAUGAGCCUAGGUCGGAUUAGCUAGUUGGUGAGGUAACGGCUCACCAAGGCGACGAUCCGUAACUGGUCUGAGAGGAUGAUCAGUCACACUGGAACUGAGACACGGUCCAGACUCCUACGGGAGGCAGCAGUGGGGAAUAUUGGACAAUGGGCGAAAGCCUGAUCCAGCCAUGCCGCGUGUGUGAAGAAGGUCUUCGGAUUGUAAAGCACUUUAAGUUGGGAGGAAGGGCAGUAAGUUAAUACCUUGCUGUUUUGACGUUACCGACAGAAUAAGCACCGGCUAACUUCGUGCCAGCAGCCGCGGUAAUACGAAGGGUGCAAGCGUUAAUCGGAAUUACUGGGCGUAAAGCGCGCGUAGGUGGUUUGUUAAGUUGGAUGUGAAAGCCCCGGGCUCAACCUGGGAACUGCAUCCAAAACUGGCAAGCUAGAGUAUGGCAGAGGGUGGUGGAAUUUCCUGUGU